rnacentral:lncRNA from 1 species
GUCAUCCUCAGGCUAUGGACACACCAAAUAAGAGCAUAAGAAGCUAAUCUGCAAGAUCCAGAUGAAGAAGGAGGCUCCUGGCCUUAGGGGUUUGUGUCUUCAAUCCCCACAAAUGGUGCCCGAACAGGGACUUGAAGAGUAAACAGGGACCUGAAGAGAGAAUCAGGACUUGAAGAGAGAAAUCCGGUGGGGAGCCCAGCUGAACUCGAAAGAGGCUGCAGCAAGUUUUUCAAUUGCCUUCACAGAAGGUAAGCAGCUGGGAACAUGGG